AUCAUUUAUUACAUUUGAUUAGUUAAGCUCCAUAUUAAUUUUUUUUUGUUUCCUUUUCAAAAAGUUGAAGGCCGACGGUGAUCGGGAAUUUAUGUUUUACCGGAAUCAUAGCGCCGAUAUGUUGCUCCGUCCCGAUGAACUCAACCUCGAUCUCAUCAGAUCGCUCUGAUUCCGUUGAGUGAGUUCUCGGAAGCUGCAGUGAUGAAGAAGUAUGGAGUGAAGCCAGAUGCUGAAACCCUUGACAUUGAAACACAACCCUUGUGUUUGCUUUGCAGAUUAGCAUCAACACCAGCAAUGUUUAAUAGUACAUUGACUGAAGAUGAAUCAUUCUUGUACCCUGCUGAUGGGGCUAUCAUGAUAACAUGUAUUCUUAUUGAUUUCGGUUUCUAUAAUAAGUAGUUCUAUAACUCCGACUUUGUAGGAAAGUAUAUGACUCUUGAUGACUUUACUUCAGUUCUUGGCUAGUUUUUUUGUUUGUUUGUUGCA